UAGUCCAGGAAAAGAGCACUGUGUCCUCCACCCUAACUCUCCUCUCUGAGGGGGGAAUUCACAAUAAUCCGCUCACCCCUUUUAACCCCUUUGUGGGUAGAAUUUUUAAAAAUCCCUUCAUAGUCGGUGCUUACAUCUCAAAAGUGGAGGGGGCACCAACAUCUGUCUUGCCUCCAGGUAUCUGGGAGGAACUUACUCCACUGGUUACAGCAGUCCCAUCUCUACUGUGGCUGUCUUGUCCCUCCUGACUCCUCAGCUGGGCUCAGCAGACUGUGGGGUUACAUGCUGGAUUGUUACUGUCUCAUAAUGCUGCUCUUCAGGAAGCUGUGUCCCGGCGUAUCCUGUCUGGACUGAUCCCUGCGGAUGUCCUUUCCUGGUUCCUGUUGUUUCGCCAGCAUACUUUCAUCGUUCGCAGGCUCCUGCUGCUACAGAUGGCUCAUUUCACCUCCAGUAACCAGUUGGGCUGACUUUAAGUCCUGCCUGAAGUAGAAAAAGGCAUUGGAACGCUUUGAGGGCCACAGGGGGAGGUCCACUCCCUGAGAGUGUGGAAUUUACAGACCUGGAGGAGCUAGCGAUGGUCAGUGUGUCCUAUGUGGAGGUGGCAGUUGUGUCUGAAAUGGACACCGACACACCUGCCAUGGAAUGUCCACAUGCCUUGGAAGCACAGGAGGUGCAGCUCACGGAGGCUGAGGAGGGGGAAAGUAGUGAUACCUCCAGUGUAGGUGAGGAAAGACCACCAUCCCAGGCCCACACUGGUCCCCCCCAAAUCGGUCUCCCAGAGAUUCUCACUGAGUGCAUCAUGGAAACAUGAACAGUACUUUCCAGAAACAGAUGCUCCAGGAGGUCCGGGAGCUGUCCUCCAGGAUCAGUGAGCUGACUUUUACAAUGUACCAAGGCAUGUGCGACAUAACCUCCUCAGUCCAGGACCUCAACACCACUAUUGGGCAAGGCAUACAGACCAUCGCUGCCCUCCUUGGCCACACUCUCAUGGAGGCCACACCAACAGGACCGUCCCCUACCCCUACCCAGGAACAAGAUCCCACUGGGCACGGCCCUUGAAGAUCAAUGCGCAGACCUACAAAAGAACAACAACCCCUUCAGGCGGGGGACUAAAAGGAAAACAAAAAUUAUCUCCAGAUGCGGUCAUAUUUCCCAGCACCCAUGUAGUUUAUGUUCCAAAAUGGUUUUGUAAUGGUUUGUGGGACCAGAAUGUCAAACUCCCUCCUGCUGAAUGGUGUUUGGCGUCUCCUCUUUUAUUUCAGUGCCUGUGAUGCAUUAACCUGUAAAGUUGACCCACCUUCCUAUUAACACUGUGGCUUUGAUAGGUGGGUUUGGGUUAUGUGGGCAGAUUUAACCUCAUUUUGCACCACAUCUUCCUCAGCCAGGGUAAUGAGCCCAGUUUCUUUUUGUGUUUACUGCUCAGUAGAUGGGGGGUCUUCACUACUGGGUAAUGGCAUCCUCUUUUCUGCACAGGCAGGAGUUUGUUGCUGUGCCAUGCUAUGUACUGUUUUUUUCUGAAAACUUUUAUUUUUGAAUGUCUAAGUUUAUUUGUUGUAUUUAUUUAAAAAAUAAACACCCUUACACAAUGCCUCCUAACUUCUGGCAACCGAAAGGAGGGACACCUGUGGUGUGGCCUAUGGAAAAGAGGGUGUGGCUUCACGGGAAGGCCCGCAAUCAUGAGCCACGCCCCAUUUUCAUCACUAUGGGCGCAUGCCCAGCGCUCUGUGAGCUGCUUGCAUGGCCCCUGUCCUCCUGUCUCCACUGAAUAGAUGCUGUCUAUUCACCGCUGCUCUGCUAAGCAGGGCAGCAAGUGCAGGAGCAUCCCAACUGCCCCCACCCCACCGCGGGACACUGCAGCCCGCAGGUUGGACAGCGGGAAAGUCCAAAAUAAACGGGACUGUUCUGUGAAAAUCGGGACAGUUUGGAGGUAUGUUACACUUUGAUAAUAGCUUGCAAUUUUCUUAUUGUGGCCCAUGGUAAUGUAUUUGUUUGUGGCAAAGUAAACAAAUGCUAUUUGGUAUGGUUGUGUGUAUAUGAAAAACAUAGUAGGAGGAACAUUUUGGGUGAUGGGAGUUUACUUGAAGAUGGGAUGUUGCAUAUACAAUAAAUAAAACUUACAUUCAAAAAACUGCCU